UCACAUUCACACCAUGAAUGGAUCAUAAUCAUCUGUAUGUGCUAUAUAAAAUCCAAAUAUUACUUUCAUAAAGUGAAGGAUUAUUUUGAGAAUAUUUAUUAUUCUCAUUAUCACAAUGAUAACGAUUAUAAUUUCGUCUAUUGCCAUGUCGAUAUACAUGGAUACAUUCACGGUAAUAAUUUUGUCUUCUUUCAGACUUAUCACAUACUGCUAUCACAUUCUC
rnacentral:lncRNA from 1 species